UACGGAAGGGGCAAGCGUUGUUCGGAAUCAUUGGGCGUAAAGGGCGCGUAGGCGGUCUUGUUUGUCUGCUGUGAAAGUCCACGGCUCACCCGUGGAGAGUCGGUGGAAACGGCAAGACUUGAGGCUGGGAGGGGUUGGUGGAAUUCCCUGUGUAGCGGUGAAAUGCGUAGAUACGGGGGAGAACACUCGUGGCGAAGGCGGCCAGCUGACCCAGUCCUGACGCUGAGGCGCGACAGCGUGGGGAGCAAACAGG
rnacentral:rRNA from 1 species